AGAAAUACCUAGCAGGGAAGAUGCUAUGAUCAUGAGCUGGUUUUUCUAGGGCAAGGCUUACCGAUUGCACACUGAGUAUUCUGACCUCUGCAAUUUCCCCAAAGUGGGAAACUUGUCUACAUAAAUUGUGGUAGUUACAGAUGGCAUACAUUUGUAC